GGCAGCGCGAGGCGUUCCCGCCGCGUGCGUCUUCCUCACUGCGCGGCUGUGCGCCGAGAGGGGCGGUGUUGGUUUGUCUGCCCUGCCCGGCCUCGUAAAGCCAUUCGGUGCGGCUGCUAGAACCAGCAAACCAUCUGCAAGUCACCUCCCUAGUUUUUCUGGCCCAUCCACAGCAGAGCCUGGGAAGAAUGUCAGCCUGUGGUUCUCAGAAGCACCCAGGAGGCUCUCGGAGCUCGGUUCCUGGUGAAGAUGUGGCAGGCAUCUUCCAAAGGAAUUUGCCUUGUGCAGCGGAUUGCAGCUAGGAUUCAGGCUUUUUAGAUUAUGCAGUAACUCCCAGCGCAGGAGAGCGUGAAUCUCCACCAGCACAGGAUCCACAAACCAAAGGACAAAUCCCAGCUGUGCUGGGAGCUUCGGGUCCUUACACCUGCACGUGGUUUGCAGUGAAUACAAACUUACAGCUGCAGUUGGAAAUAGGCUCUUUCAAUGCUAAAACCACAGGUGGCUUGGGUAAACUUGAGCAGCUUUUCCUGUAAGUGGGAAUAGCAUAAAGGAUAAAUUUGCCAGGAUCAAUUUAAGAGCUGUUUUGUUGGGUUUUCCUUAGUUUUUUUUCUUUUUUUCCCCUUCUUUCCUCUCAAACACUGGGCAUAAUUUUUUGCAAACGUGCAUGGAAGCAGUAGCUCAAGUAUGAGACAGAGACUGUUUUAAAAUGGUUUGGUUGUACUGCCUGCUCGAUGGUAUUCUUUUAAAGAACAUUUACGAAAGAUUUAUGUAAAAUCUAUCUUUUGUCUACUUAAAAUAUGUCAAAUGGAUGCACAGGGCAAAAUUUAAUGCAUAUGGGUUUUCAUUAUUUUAAAUCAUUUGCAAUAUAAGUGAUUUACUGUGACAUCAGACGUUCGUUCUUUGGCUGUCCACCAUAAAUUGAAGCCCACCCAAAUUUCCACUUUUAUAUUUAUAUUUCUGCGUUCCCUCCCCCAGUAUCUCUAACCUCAGCUCUGCGAUUCUUCAUGUAAAUGACUUUCAGGAAGGAAAGGAAGGGAACACAUAAUUGGCCUUAAUACAGGUAAUACUGAAAGAAAAGCGAGACCUUUAUGUGAGAAAUUGUUGACAGCUGUGGAAAGGGGGGAACUAAUGCAUGUAGGAGAGCAAGUCCUUCCUGAUGAGAGCUACUGGAUGUGAUCAAAUGGACUUCAGUGCUACUGAAACUGCCAGAGGUGACAGACAUCUAUCUUCUGCUUCCUGAAUGUUUUCAUGUCUUUUUAGCGUCUUUCCAUUUAUAAUGCAGUUAAUUGAACACUGACCUGUUAAGGUUCCACACAGCUGUUUGGAAAACUGAGCCAUCAGACUUCCAAGAUAUCACCAAUAUUAUGUUCCUCCUGCUGUGGAUACCAAACUACUCCAUACGUUCCCACCCACACCAGCUCCAUGGGUGAGCCAUAAAAAUACUUCCUCCAGGCACUGGGGAGCAGAAGAGAGGCACACUGCCAACUCGAGCAGCAGCACAAGACGUUCGGUGUGCUGGAGGUGCUUCUUUUCAGCCCAGAGACCUGAA